GGGGAUGUAAAGGUUUCGACGGGGGUGUAGAAGCCGGAUAAGCGAGCCGUAGCUGCCAGGUCUACGUUAAAAAUGGCACGUUUAAAUAUAAACGCUAAAAACAACAAUAAACUCGCAUUUGCUGCUUAAUUAACGCAGCCCGCGUGUCAGCUCAGGUUCACCUGCAGACCUGAGAUCUGGCAACGACCAUGCAGGAAAACUCUGCGGGAGUUCCCGGUACCGCAGGGGAACUACGGGAUAGCAAGGGACAAAGCCUGCUGAUGGGCGGUGCCCCGCGCGAACGAUAAAACAUCAGCUGCGCUCGGAGAAAAUCCCGUGGAAAUGCUUUCGGACAGGAGUUCGAUUCUCCUCAUCUCCACCA
rnacentral:tmRNA from 2 species